ensembl:lncRNA
CUCUCUCACUCUCUCUCUCUCUCGCUGUCUCUCUCUCUCGCUGUCUCUCUCUCUCUCUCGCUGUCUCUCUCUCUCUCUCUCUCUCUCUCUCUCUCUCUCUCUCGCUGUCUCUCUCUCUCUCUCUCGCUGUCUCUCUCUCUCUCUCUCUCUCGGUCUCUCUCUCUCUCUCUCUCUCUCUCUCUCUCUCUCUCGCGGUCUCUCUUUCUCUCUCUCUCUCGCAGUCUUUCUCUCUCUCUCGCAGUCUUUCUCUCUCUCUCACAGUCUCUCUCUCUCGCAGUCUCUCUCUCUCUCUCUCUUGCAGUCUCUCUCUCUCUCUCUCUUGCAGUCUCUCUCUCUCUCUCACAGUCUCUCUCUCUCGCAGUCUCUCUCUCCCUCUCUCUUGCAGUCUCUCUCUCGCAGUCUCUCUCUCUCUCUCUUGCAGUCUCUCUCUCUCUCAGUCUCUCUCUCUCGCGGUCUCUCUCUCUCUCGCAGUCUCUCUCUC